UAGGUCAGAUUCCAGAGGAGAUAACAGGUUGAUGUGUUAGAACCUGUAGGAUAGGUCAGAUUCCAGAGGAGAUAACAGGUUGAUGUGUUAGAACCUGUAGGAUAGGUCAGAUUCCAGAGGAGAUAACAGGUUGAUGUGUUAGAACCUGUAGGAUAGGUCAGAUUCCAGAGGAGAUAACAGGUUGAUGUGUUAGAACCUGUAGGAUAGGUCAGAUUCCAGAGGAGAUAACAGGUUGAUGUGUUAGAACCUGUAGGAUAGGUCAGAUUCCAGAGGAGAUAACAGGUUGAUGUGUUCUCUGAGAUAAGUUGCUGUGUUAUGUAUGGGUGUCUCCUAGAGAUGAGCUGUGUUUUUAGUAGGGCCAGCAAGGAAACAAAACA